AGCAGCCGCGGUAAUUCCAGCUCCAAUAGCGUAUAUUAAAGUUGUUGCAGUUAAAAAGCUCGUAGUUGAAUUUCGGGAUUCUUCCGUUGGUCAGGCUAACAAGUCUGUACUAGCGUGUAGAAUCUCUACCUUCUGGGGAACCAUCAUGUUAUUUAUUUAGCGUGGUGGGAAACCAGGACCUUUACCUUGAAAAAAUUAGAGUGUUCAAAGCAGGCUUACGUCUGAAUACAUUAGCAUGGAAUAAUAAAAUAGGACGGUGGUCCUGUUUUGUUGGUUUCUGAAUCACCGUAAUGAUUAAUAGGGAUAGUUGGGGGCAUUAGUAUUCAAUUGUCAGAGGUGAAAUUCUUGGAUUUAUUGAAGACUAACUUCUGCGAAAGCAUUUGCCAAGGAUGUUUUCAUUAAUCAAGAACGAAAGUUAGGGGAUCGAAGACGAUCAGAUACCGUCGUAGUCUUAACCAUAAACUAUGCCGACUAGGGAUCGGACGAUGUUAAAUUUUAUUGACUCGUUCGGCGCCUUACG
rnacentral:rRNA from 1 species